rnacentral:rRNA from 1 species
UGGGGGAUAUUGCACAAUGGGCGAAAGCCUGAUGCAGCGACGCCGCGUGGGGGAUGAAGGCCUUCGGGUUGUAAACUUCUCUUGUUCUGAACAAGGCAUGCCUUUGGGGUGUGUUGAGUGUAGGGGUUGAUUAGCGCCGGCUAACUACGUGCCAGCAGCCGCGGUAAUACGUAGGGCGCGAGCGUUGUCCGGAAUUAUUGGGCGUAAAGGGCUUGUAGGUGGCUGGUUGCGUCUGUCGUGAAAGCUCAUGGCUUAACUGUGGGUUUGCGGUGGGUACGGGCUGGCUUGAGUGCAGUAGGGGAGGCUGGAAUUCCUGGUGUAGCGGUGGAAUGCGCAGAUAUCAGGAGGAAUAGCGGUGGCGAAGGGGGGUCUCUGAGCUGUUACUGACGCUGAGGAGCGAAAGCGUGGGGAGCGAACAGG